rnacentral:rRNA from 1 species
UACGUAGGGUGCAAGCGUUGUCCGGAAUUAUUGGGCGUAAAGAGCUCGUAGGCGGCUUGUUGCGUCGACCGUGAAAACCUACCGCUUAACGGUGGGCUUGCGGUCGAUACGGGCAGGCUAGAGUUCGGUAGGGGAGACUGGAAUUCCUGGUGUAGCGGUGAAAUGCGCAGAUAUCAGGAGGAACACCGGUGGCGAAGGCGGGUCUCUGGACAGUUCCUGACGCUGAGGCACGAAGGCCAGGGGAGCAAACGGG